GAUCCUGGCUCAGGACGAACGCUGGCGGCGUGCCUAACACAUGCAAGUCGAGCGGAGACAGUGAGUAGCUUGCUAUGAGCUGUUUUAGCGGCGGACGGGUGAGUAACGCGUGAGCAACCUUUCCCAGACAGGGGGAAUAACACACCGAAAGGUGUACUAAUACCGCAUAAGACCACGGGAUCACAUGGUUCUGGGGUAAAAGAUUUAUCGGUUUGGGGUGGGCUCGCGUCCGAUUAGGUAGUUGGUGAGGUAACGG
rnacentral:rRNA from 1 species